ACUGAACGCUGGCGGCAGGCCUAACACAUGCAAGUCGAACGGAGUGGCGGACGGGUGAGUAAUGUCUGGGAAACUGCCUGAUGGAGGGGAUAACUACUGGAAACGGUAGCUAAUACCGCAUACUAUCAGAUGAGCCUAGGUCGGAUUAGCUAGUUGGUGGGGUAAAGGCCUACCAAGGAGACGAUCCGUAACUGGUCUGAUAGGAUGAACAGUCACCAUGGAACUGAGACACGUGCCAGACUCCUACGGGAGUCAGCAGUGGGGAAUAUUGGACAAUGGGCGAAAGCCUUAUCCAGCCAUGCCGCGUGUGUGAAGAAGGUCUUCGGAUUGUAAAUCACUUUAAGUUGGGAGGCGUUACCAACAGAAUAAGCACCGGCUAACUUCGUGCCAGCAGCCGCGGUAAUUC
rnacentral:rRNA from 1 species